UACGUAGGGUGCGAGCGUUAAUCGGAAUUACUGGGCGUAAAGUGUGCGCAGGCGGCCGCGCAAGUCGAGUGUGAAAGCCCCGGGCUUAACUUGGGAAUUGCGCUCGAAACUACGUGGCUGGAGUGUGGCAGAGGAAGGUGGAAUUCCAGGUGUAGCGGUGAAAUGCGUAGAGAUCUGGAGGAACACCGAUGGCGAAGGCAGCAUCCUGGACCGGUAUUGACGCUGAGGCGCGAAAGCCAGGGGAGCAAACGGG
rnacentral:rRNA from 1 species